GUUUUGAGUGAUCCACAGAAGAGAGUAGUGUAUGAUCAAUACGGAGAAGAGGGGUUGAAAGGGCAGGUGCCACCUCCAGGUGCCGGUGGAUUUUCUGGCCCUUCAGAUGGGGGUGGUCAUGGGUCGUUUCGAUUCAACCCCCGUAGUGCUGAUGAUAUAUUCUCCGAAUUCUUUGGGUUUUCCACCCCGUAUGGUGGGAUGGGAGAUAUGGGUGGACGGGCUGGUGGUCCAAGUUUCAGUAGAGGUAUGUUUGGGGAAGAUAUUUUCACUUCAUUCAGGAAUGCUGCUGGCGAAGGUGCAUCUGGUAAUGCUCCACGAAAGGCCGCUCCUAUAGAGCGGGCACUUCCUUGUAGUUUGGAGGAUCUAUACAAGGGAACCACCAAGAAGAUGAAGAUAUCCAGAGAAGUUACUGAUGCUACUGGGAGACCCAGUACAACAGAGGAAAUUCUAACGAUUGAUAUCAAACCAGGAUGGAAGAAGGGGACUAAAAUAACAUUUCCAGAGAAAGGAAACGAGCAACGAGGCAUAAUUCCAUCAGACCUUGUCUUUAUAAUUGAUGAGAAGCCGCAUAGCGUCUUCAAGAGAGAUGGAAAUGACCUCGUUGUCACCCAGAAAAUCCCCUUGGUAGAGGCUCUUACUGGAUACACUGCACAAAUAACAACCCUUGAUGGCCGGAAUCUAACUGUACCAAUUAAUUCCAUCAUUAGUCCAAAUUAUGAAGAAGUUAUCAAAGGAGAAGGUAUGCCCAUUCCGAAGGAACCUAGCAGAAAAGGCAACUUGAGAGUAAAGUUUAACAUCAAGUUCCCUAGCAAGCUUACUUCUGAGCAGAAAGCUGGCAUAAAGCGGUACUUGACAUGAUGAGUGGACAUUAGCUCCUAUAGUUUUCCAUCAAAUGCUACAUAAGCUUCACCCCGUCUCGUCUUCAUCAUGCAAAGAAAUCUGCACUUCGUUUAUUUAUUUAUUUCUUCUGCAACAUUUAAGUCUGUUAUUUCAAUAUCACUUGCCUUCUAAACCAAACAUCCCGUGGAAUCUCUAUUUCCAUUGUUUUGUGUGGCAUAGAGUACAAUUGGAUCCACCUCUCUCCUCUUGUGUCAAUACUAGAUGUGGGUGUGCCCGUGCGGGCUUACAGAGUGUAGGCCCUAUGGCAUACCUCUCUUUUUCCUGCUAUAUUAUACACUGAUUAUUGAAGCAUAAG
rnacentral:misc_RNA from 1 species